GACGAACGCUGGCGGCGUGCCUAAUACAUGCAAGUCGAACGCUUUUUCUUUCACCGGAGCUUGCUCCACCGAAAGAAAAAGAGUGGCGAACGGGUGAGUAACACGUGGGUAACCUGCCCAUCAGAAGGGGAUAACACUUGGAAACAGGUGCUAAUACCGUAUAACACUAUUUUCCGCAUGGAAGAAAGUUGAAAGGCGCUUUUGCGUCACUGAUGGAUGGACCCGCGGUGCAUUAGCUAGUUGGUGAGGUAACGGCUCACCAAGGCAACGAUGCAUAGCCGACCUAAGAGGGUGAUCGGCCACACUGGGACUGAGACACGGCCCAGACUCCUACGGGAGGCAGCAGUAGGGAAUCUUCGGCAAUGGACGGAAGUCUGACCGAGCAACGCCGCGUGAGUGAAGAAGGUUUUCGGAUCGUAAAACUCUGUUGUUAGAGAAGAACAAGGAUGAGAGUAGAACGUUCAUCCCUUGACGGUAUCUAACCAGAAAGCCACGGCUAACUACGUGCCAGCCGCCGCCGUAA
rnacentral:rRNA from 1 species